UACGUAGGGGGCGAGCGUUGUCCGGAUUCAUUGGGCGUAAAGCGCUUUAAGGCGGUUCGCUAAGUCGGGUGUGAAACCUCCAGGCUCAACCUGGAGACGCCACUCGAUACUGGCGUGACUAGAGUUCGGUAGGGGACCACGGAAUUCCUGGGUGUAGCGGUGAAAUGCGCAGAUAUCAGGAGGAACACCAGUGGCGAAGGCGGUGGUCUGGGCCGAUACUGACGCUGUAGAGCGAAAGCGUGGGGAGCGAACAGG
rnacentral:rRNA from 1 species